rnacentral:rRNA from 1 species
UACGUAGGGCGCAAGCGUUGUCCGGAAUUAUUGGGCGUAAAGAGCUCGUAGGCGGCUUGUCGCGUCGAUUGUGAAAGCCCGGGGCUUAACUCCGGGUCUGCAGUCGAUACGGGCAGGCUAGAGUGUGGUAGGGGAGAUCGGAAUUCCUGGUGUAGCAGUGAAAUGCGCAGAUAUCAGGAGGAACACCGGUGGCGAAGGCGGAUCUCUGGGCCAUUACUGACGCUGAGGAGCGAAAGCGUGGGGAGCGAACAGG